ACAUGUGUAAUGCAAUAAUGAAUAUGAUGUACUCUUUUCUCUGUGAACCGUUUUUUCCAUUGGGUUUUCCAGAUGGAGUUUUUAAUGAGGCAUGUGCAUAUCGUGGUAAUCGCUUAAGGAGGAGUGUUAUAAACAUACAGACUUAAUCCUAGAAGGAAAUGAGAAGGAGAAUCCUAAUCUUAAUCCUAAUCCAUUUGUAUAUGAGCUCUUACCAAAACUCUUAGACCUUAGCAGAACUAUAUAUACAUGGGAGCUCUAUGUUGUAAUGACCAAUAUUUAGAGGAAUAAAGAAUAAUCUCUCUAUCUCUUGUGUAUUUGUGUUCUACUUUCAUCCACUAUGUUGAUCGUAAGAGACAAAAAUAGAUAACUCAUAAACUUCCCCCAUCCUAAAAUAAAUAAUUUUCUAAAGUUUAAAAAUUAUCCUAAAAUAAAUAAAAUUAUAUGCAAAUAUAAUCAUAGGUGCAUGCAGAAAAAUAACUACCAAUUUGGAGAGAGAGAGAGAGAGAGAUAUCCUCUGAAAAGAAAAAAAAAAGGUAAGGGCCAGAGGGUAUAUACAUCUUUUGCCAACAUCCUUAAUCUGUCUAAAAUUUCUAGAAACUUAUUUAUUAUAGGAUAGAGAGAUUAUAUUUUGGUGGGAAUAUAAUUGGACAAAACUUACUUAUCUUUACAUGGGG
rnacentral:lncRNA from 1 species